GAUGAACGCUGGCGGCGUGCCUAAUACAUGCAAGUCGAGCGAACGGACGAGAAGCUUGCUUCUCUGAUGUUAGCGGCGGACGGGUGUGUAACACGUGGAUAACCUACCUAUAAGACUGGGAUAACUUCGGGAAACCGGAGCUAAUACCGGAUGAUAUUUUGAACCGCAUGGUUCAAAAGUGAAAGACGGUCUUGCUGUCACUUAUAGAUGGAUCCGCGCUGCAUUAGCUAGUUGGUAAGGUAACGGCUUACCAAGGCAACGAUGCAUAGCCGACCUGAGAGGGUGAUCGGCCACACUGGAACGGAGCCACGGUCCAGACUCCUACGGGAGGCAGCAGUAGGGAAUCUUCCGCAAUAGGCGGAAGCCUGACGGAGCAACGCCGCGUGAGUGAUGAAGGUCUUCGGAUCGUAAAACUCUGUUAUUAGGGAAGAACAUAUGUGUAAGUAACUGUGCACAUCUUGACGGUACCUAAUCAGAAAGCCACGGCUAACUACGUG
rnacentral:rRNA from 1 species